UCCAGCAUCGAUUCUCAGUCCCUCUCCUGCAGGCACGCCGCGAGUCUCCGCCGGGCGCCGCUGCCCUUCUGAUGCCUGCUCGUGGCCACCGUCUCUCCGCUCGCCUGUGGCCGCCGUCUCUCCGUACGGUGCAGCCGCUCGCUCGUCCGCCCUUAAAAGCCGCCUCUCCCCGCCUCCUCCAAACCCUCGUUUCUCUCAUGCGCUGCGCCGUCGCGUCUCUUCGACGCCAAAUCCGAGACUCCGAUCUCGUGUUCACCGCAGCGCGUCAAGCACCCGACUCCUAGUCCAAUCCGCUCUACUCACCUCGCGUCAGGUGGUCCACUCCUCGAGAUCUCUCGCCUCGGAAUUGUCUCUUGUUUUUUUUUUCUGUGCUAGCUUGCCUUGCUCGAUCUGGAGGGGUGGUGGUGUUUGCGUGGGUAUUGGUUGAUCUGGUGGUUCUGGCGUUGGAUCUAUGGUGAUUCGUUUUAGACUUUAACAAAAGAUGAAACAAAAAUCUGAGCAAUUUAGAUCUUGGAAGCCUGCCCGUGAAAAGGAAGUACUUCAGGAAGGGAGACGAAAUGAAUAUGAGAUGCACAAACUCUUGGCCUUGAAUCAGAGACAGAAAAUGGUUUUACAGCGGAAAACUGAAGAAGCUGCAUCUACUUCGAAAAGAUUGAAGGAGUUGCUGGAAGCAAAGAAGUCCACCCGCAUAUAAAUAUGAACUCCUCCCAGCGAAAAUUUAGGAUGGAGUCUUCUCUGCUAUCAUGCCUCCUGAGGCCCUUGAUAUUACUCGCAAGUUCAUAAACAAACCUGUGAGGAUCCUUCAGCAGUGCUGUACUGAUGUAUGCUUGUCCUGAGAUUUCUUACAUGUGCAUUGGCAAAAAUGCAUACUCUGCAAUAUUUAUGUAUUAUAUUCCAUGAUCUGUUGUUAUUCAGAAAUAGUUAGUGAUGUAUUGUUGUAUGCUUGGAUCAUGUUUGAUUGGUCUGAGAAGUUAACAGCUAAGAAAUAUAGAACCACAACCAAGUUAACAGCUAAGAAAUAUAGAACCACAACCUUGGCUAAGUUGGCUCGCGAGCCAAGCCAAACCGACUCAGACGGCAAUGAGCCUGAGCUGAGUCCAUAGUCUAGCUUGGUCACCUAGCUGAGCCGAGCCUGACAUG